UCCCGCCGGCGACCGGCGCACGGGUGAGUAACACGUAUGAAACCUGCCCGUAGCAGGGGGAUAAGCGGAAGAAAUUCCGUCUAAUACCGCGUAACAACCCGAGGAGGCAUCUCCUCGGGUUUAAAGGAAGCGAUUCCGGCUACGGAUGGUCAUGCGUCGCAUUAGCUAGUUGGCGGGGUAACGGCCCACCAAGGCGACGAUGCGUAGGGGUUCUGAGAGGAAGGUCCCCCACACUGGUACUGAGACACGGACCAGACUCCUACGGGAGGCAGCAG
rnacentral:rRNA from 1 species